rnacentral:rRNA from 1 species
UACGGAGGGGGGCUAGCGUUGUUCGGAAUUACUGGGCGUAAAGCGCGUGUAGGCGGAUAGGCAAGUCUGCUGUGAAAGCUCCUGGCUUAACCGGGAGUGGUCGGUGGAAACUGCUUAUCUGGAGGACGGUAGAGGCUGGUGGAAUUCCCGGUGUAGUGGUGAAAUGCGUAGAGAUCGGGAGGAACACCUGUGGCGAAGGCGGCCAGCUGGGCCGGACCUGACGCUGAGACGCGAAGGCGUGGGGAGCGAACGGG